ACGAGUGGCGGACGGGUGAGUAAUGUCUGGGAAACUGCCUGAUGGAGGGGGAGUAACUACUGGAAACGGUAGCUAAUACCGCAUAACGUCGAAAGACCAAAGAGGGGGACCUUCGGGCCUCUUGCCAUCGGAUGUGCCCAGAUGGGAUUAGCUAGUAGGUGGGGUAACGGCUCACCUAGGCGACGAUCCCUAGCUGGUCUGAGAGGAUGACCAGCCACACUGGAACUGAGACACGGUCCAGACUCCUACGGGAGGCAGCAUG
rnacentral:rRNA from 1 species